rnacentral:rRNA from 1 species
AGGGUUCGAUUCUGGCUCAGGAUUAACGCUGGCGGCAUGCCUAAUACAUGCAAGUCGAAUGAGAAGCUUGCUUCUCAUGGCGAACGGGUGAGUAACACGUAGGUAACCUGCCUUACACUCGAGGAUAACCGUUGGAAACGACGGAUAAUACUGGAUAGGACAGAGAUUCGCAUGAGACUCUGUUUAAAAAGCAAUGGUGUAUGAGGGGCCUGCGGUGCAUUAGCUAGUUGGUGAGGUAACGGCUCACCAAGGCGAUGAUGCAUAGCUGGACUGAGAGGUUGAACAGCCACAAUGGGACUGAGAACGGCCCAUACUCCUACGGGAGGCAGCAGUAGGGAAUUUUCGGCAAUGGGGGAAACCCUGACCGAGCAAUGCCGCGUGAACGAUGAAGUAUUUCGGUAUGUAAAGUUCUUUUAUUAGGAAAGAUAGUGACGGUACCUAAUGAAUAAGCUCCGGCUAACUACGUGCCAGCCGCGGC